UACGGGGGGGGCAAGCGUUGUUCGGAAUUACUGGGCGUAAAGGGCUCGUAGGCGGCCAACUAAGUCGGACGUGAAAUCCCCAGGCUCAACCCCGGGCCUGCAUCCGAUACUCCCGGGCUGGAGGCAGGUAGGGGAGAUCGGAAUUCCUGGUGUAGCGGUGAAAUGCGCAGAUAUCAGGAGGAACACCGGUGGCGAAGGCGGAUCUCUGGGCCUUGCCUGACGCUGAGGCGCGAAAGCUAGGGGAGCGAACAGG
rnacentral:rRNA from 1 species